rnacentral:sRNA from 12 species
UGCCUAAACCUUGUAGGAAUAUAAGGCACGGCAGAAAGACCUCGUGAGCAGUAAGCUCUUGUCAGAGCGCUCACGAGGCUGUAUCCCGAAAGGAAUGCAGGUAGGGCAACCUAUC